rnacentral:rRNA from 1 species
CCAAAACGGUGAAGCCAAGCUUGCUUGGUGGAUCAGUGGCGAACGGGUGAGUAACACGUGAGCAACCUGCCCUGGACUCUGGGAUAAGCGCUGGAAACGGCGUCUAAUACUGGAUAUGAGCUCUCAUCGCAUGGUGGGGGUUGGAAAGAUUUUUCGGUCUGGGAUGGGCUCGCGGCCUAUCAGCUUGUUGGUGAGGUAAUGGCUCACCAAGGCGUCGACGGGUAGCCGGCCUGAGAGGGUGACCGGCCACACUGGGACUGAGACACGGCCCAGACUCCUACGGGAGGCAGCAGUGGGGAAUAUUGCACAAUGGGCGGAAGCCUGAUGCAGCAACGCCGCGUGAGGGAUGACGGCCUUCGGGUUGUAAACCUCUUUUAGCAGGGAAGAAGCGAAAGUGACGGUACCUGCAGAAAAAGCGCCGGCUAACUACGUGCCAGCAGCCGCGGUAAUACGUAGGGCGCAAGCGUUAUCCGGAAUUAUUGGGCGUAAAGAGCUCGUAGGCGGUUUGUCGCGUCUGCUGUGAAAUCCCGAGGCUCAACCUCGGGCCUGCAGUGGGUACGGGCAGACUAGAGUGCGGUAGGGGAGAUUGGAAUUCCUGGUGUAGCGGUGGAAUGCGCAGAUAUCAGGAGGAACACCGAUGGCGAAGGCAGAUCUCUGGGCCGUAACUGACGCUGAGGAGCGAAAGGGUGGGGAGCAAACAGGCUUAGAUACCCUGGUAGUCCACCCCGUAAACGUUGGGAACUAGUUGUGGGGACCAUUCCACGGUUUCCGUGACGCAGCUAACGCAUUAAGUUCCCCGCCUGGGGAGUACGGCCGCAAGGCUAAAACUCAAAGGAAUUGACGGGGACCCGCACAAGCGGCGGAGCAUGCGGAUUAAUUCGAUGCACCGCGAAAA